rnacentral:rRNA from 1 species
UACGUAGGGGGCAAGCGUUGUCCGGAAUCAUUGGGCGUAAAGAGCGCGUAGGCGGCCCUGUAAGUCCGCUGUGAAAGUCAAGGGCUCAACCCUUGGAUGCCGGUGGAUACUGCAGGGCUAGAGUCCGGAAGAGGCGAGUGGAAUUCCUGGUGUAGCGGUGAAAUGCGCAGAUAUCAGGAGGAACACCGAUGGCGAAGGCAGCUCGCUGGGACGGUCACUGACGCUGAGGCGCGAAGCGUGG